UUUUUUUUUUUUUUUUGCAUACAUUGUCUGAUAUUGAAAAAAGAGAACAACGAAGAAGACGAACCCCCCAAAAAAAAAAAAAACAAAAGAAAGAUGAUGAACUCUUGUUCCAUGACAUUGGGAAAAUUUUGUUACAGUCAAAGUGUAGUUCAUUCUUGAUGAUAGGCUUAACUUCACGCUAACAGCAGAAUAGGAUAACCCUCUUUUCCCCCGUCCACUUUCCCACUUCUACAGUAGUAACUCAUAGCAUAUAAAUGUUUCUUCUACCAACAUCCCCAUUUCUCACGUAUUGGUGUGUGCGUGGUACAUUAUCAUUGAGCAAGUUUUUUCUUGUUGGAAAGGUAUAGAUGCUUUCCUCUUUAAUUUGAUGCCCAGCACUGUUUGAAUAAAAAUAAAAAUGUUUAGGCUGCAAAAAUAUCUGCCUUGACAUCCAUCCGUUGGCAAACUUGGCCUAAUUGUAGGACACAAAUACUUUGUCAGUAAGCAUAUUAUCAAGUAGUAUUAAAGAAAACGCAUUGUUAAUAUGUGCAUUUGACUUUAAGCGGCGCAAAUGAUGUAAAAUAGAGAAAGAUACACACAAAAUCUUCUGAAGACGUCUCCAAAUCCUCUAUCUAUGCAUGUUUGAGACGGAUCCCAGAUUGUUCGUUCAUUUCUUGUCUCUUUUUGAGGUGACCUCUGACCAUUACUGUUGCUCGUGGAAGGCAUUUUCACAGUGAUAAAUUAUUGCAGGUAUUAACAUCAAAUUAUACUAAUCACACUAGGAUAAGUCGGUUAGCAAGUUGAUUAACUUUUUUCGCUUUUUUGGAAGCUGUAGGUCCAAAAAGUGGUUAUGAAAAAUGGCCACUUUGAUUUAAUUAAGUUGGUAGUGCAAAAGUAAAACAAGAGGAUGCGGCGGUGCUUUAGAUUUAUGGAUUGUUGGUUACGAAAGUGGAGACCCUGUUAGACGUUUGCUAAUACGUACCAUUAAUUAGUAAUUUGGACAAAGGUAGUCAGGUUGAUAAACAUCACCGGUUUAUGGGUAGUUUGAAGCCAAGAAAUAUCAAAUACUUAGGACUUGUUUCAUAUUCCAAUUCAGCACUUAAAUUUAACGAAUUCAUAGAUUUCAAACUUCAGACGCAUCCCUAAUCAUAUCUGUCAGAGGUAGUAGCAGGUCUAUUAUGAAGUUUGAGCUGUAAAGAAAAAUAUUUCUUUGUUGGAUCCGAACUCAAACAACAAGAAAGAGAGAUGUCUUUCAAAUAAGUGAAAAGUGAAACCAAAAACUUACCAAAGAUUUGAGAUAAGAUUUUGGGGCGUAAUCAGUUUGCAUAUCUAUAUCACCAACACAGUUCAAUCUUCGUAGUCACAUUAAAGCCAAGCCAGAGAUUAGGGAAACACACUCUCAAUAUUUUUGGUUGAAAAGGAAGGAUGCCAAGCAGAGGAAGCAGGUAUAACUUUACCAAGAACCCCAAAUUAUUACUUAUUAGUAGUAGUACGCCAUUAGGGAAUCUAGCUAGUGAUGAGUACCAAGUUGAAAACUCAGGCACACUUCUGAUUGGAAAUCUGUCAAAACUGUAAAAUUCCUCCGACAGGCCUUGACUAAUAUGGGUCGUCAAAAUUCCAUUUUGGAGAAUUUUUUUCUUUAUAGCCUUCAAAGUUUUAAAAAGGAGGUUUGGUUAGAUAAACCUUGGAUUUUGCUAGAAGCUAACACCUUUCUUCACAAAGGCAUUGAAUGAGGUUGCGUUUCAAGCUUGUUUUUGUAUGGUUGUUUCAGAUACUGAUGCCUGUGUCUUUUUUGUAAUAAAUUGAUUAAUUCAAGCUGUAUACUACAUUCUUCUCUGAUUCUGAUGCCUUGAUCGUUUCACAUCAUCCUGUUACUAGGGAAAACGACUAUGGUAUUAUGCGGUCUUAGUUUUGGCCAAAAUUCAUUGAUAGCUGAAGCAACACGAGGAACUUAGACAUUCCGCGACAUAAAAAGGUAAUAAAUAAUUAGAUUACAGUUUUGUGCCGUAACGUUAAUUGCAACCACCUUUUGUUGCCCUCCUCUUUUUUUUUUUCUUAUUCGAUGGAACUUUAUGUUACCCUGUGGCUGAUGUGAUGAUUCAGGAGCACAUCGGGCUAGCUGAGGGCAAGCGGGCUGGUCAAACAUUCACUCCUCCAUAUUUCACUCUACGUUCGGAAGUCGAAACUUCCUUUAACCAGGGAAAAUUGCAUCUUGAACUAUUUUUCCAGCGCAAAUGCGGAACGCCAAAAGUUGGGCUGAACUCGAUUCGUUUACGGCUCUAUUUGAAGAAGUAACUUUAGGUCUUGAUUAUAUGUUUACAUGACAACUUGAUGAAAAUUGAUGGAAAACAAAUUUUGGGAUCCAAUUCCAUGCAUUUGAUAGUUAUUUUUUUUCCCAUUUUUACUUGAAUUAUGCCACUAACUUGCUCAAUAAAUCACUAUUUUCUUGUCAUCUCAAUCAUUGAGAUAACUUACUAUCGCACCUCUCAUUUCUUUUUCGUAACUUGGGACCCGAUUCUUGAAAUCUAAGAUCGACAGUCUCGGCGCGAUGCCACUAUUCCGUCCAAAAAAAAAACUGUAAUUGUGCGAGGGAAAAAAUCAAGAGGUGCAAUAAGAUCCUCAAGUGAUAUGCCCAAAAAACUGGCAAACCAAACUAUGAAACAUUUUGGAAUGGUGUUCACAAAGUGAGAUUUAUUUAGACACCCUAGUAAUGUUUAUUAGCGAGUACCAAUUUUUAAGUAACUCAAAAUGGGAGCAGUCUGAAAAAGGAUCUUAGACUUGCGAGAAGCAUGAAACCUGUCGUUAAUGGAGGCAAAGCCAUGUUAGACGUCGCACCAAUCUUUCUUUACGCAAUCGUUGAUUAAUCACUCCUUUUUAAGCAAGAAAUCAUGGAUCCCGUUUAGUUUUGUUUUUGGAGGGGUUGAGGGCGGCGAGAAUCUUAUUCCUCCACUUGAGAGCAGCUACCCAUCUAAAGCAAUGUCUUGGAUUCACUCUUUCCUUUGCUCCAAGUAUAAAUUUUUUUUUGAUUUGACAUUCUCCACGUUUCGCCACUGCUUUUAUUUGCCACAAGAAUUGAUUUGCGCUUUUAACAUCACAAUUAGCGUUGAUUUGCCACAAACAUAUUCCACUUAGAAUAAGUUCAACCCUUUCCUAAAAUUAGAUACUCGUGUGGUUCAACACAUGAUAGACAAAGGACUUUAUCGACAUUGGAUUCGUGUAAAGAGUUUAAACGAUUAAGGAGAGAAACCCUCGUACAGAAGGCCACCAUGAGUUAUCUCUUUUACAAAUUUUGUUUUAAGGAGAGGGUGUCAAGUUUGUAUAGAUACAAUUAUCAUACUGGUUCUUGACAGUGUAAUUAAAUGAGCAGGUUUAACCGACAAAAUAGAUUUUGACUUAUGGUCAUCAUAUCAUCUGUUGAUAUGGAGGUCAAUUUCAGUUCAGUUCGGUUUAUCUACUGAUGUUGUAGGAGAAAUUCAAUUAACUUGACACAAGAAAAUAUUAGCUGGUUGAUAUGAUAAUCAUCAUCUCAUCUGCUGUUAUGCAUUUCUUUAUUAAUUUGAACUUUGUCUCGUGCUUAAACCAAGUAAUAUCUUCAUCCUGUACAAACUAUAUGGCGACCGGAGAACCGAAAAUAUAUGAUAAUUGAUCCACGAUGAAUUAUUUGGGGAGUUGAAAUUAUGUGGAAGUAGCUAAUACUGCAUGCUUUGUGUCACAGAUUUGUGACACAAAGUACAUAUAUUUGAUCAGGUACUGUAAUAUGCAAAGCCUCUUCGUUGGAAAAAAAAAAAACGACUCAGAAACAGUUCAAAAUGAAGGGAAGGAAACUGAGGUCUACGGGGCACUUUAUACUAACUGUUGAUAAUAAUCACAUAAUGGAGCAGGCAUUGGGGUUGUCAUCACUGAAAAGGUAGGUGAUUCUCUCUUCAGUUGCGUUUGGGGGAGGAGCAGCUUGUACCACAUUCCUCACAAAUCCCGCAGGUGCUCUCUUGUCGUAGGCUCCAGUUACAUAUGGGUAAAACACCAGGUUAUGAGGGACAUAUGGCCAGAACUCUGCUCUUUUUCCAGUGUCUUUUAUUCUCUUUAAUACUUUAUUUGGAUCAACGUAGCCACUCACCUUUACUCGGCUUUGCUUUCGAUCUACUUCCAGUGUUUUCAGACCUAAAAAAUCAUCUGAAAUUAGUUGGUAUAUAUAUCAAACAAGUACAAGCUUACGAAGUAAAGUAUGUUUUCGGCUUGACGAAAAAAAUAUACAAACAUGUUUUCGGUUGAAAAGCUUUUUAGGAGUAUGUGUUAUGUAACAAGAAAAUUAUAAUCUUUAGUGGAGGUGUAAUUAAUGAAAACAUUGAUCAACUUGCUAAAAAGGUCAGUCUAUAUAUUGGUCCACAUUUUCAUAUUAAAAAAAAAGGGUUCUCCUCCACCAUUAAUACGGGAUGCACUAGAUCCACUUUAUGGUAUAAAGGGCAGAUGAAAGGCAUAAAUAAGUGGCAAUGGAUUGAGCAUAAAAAAGUGGUUGGAUUGCAUUCUAUCCAUACAUAGUUAUCCAGAUCGAUCUUCGCCCUCAUCUUCUUCUUAUGAAAAGAGCCCAGCAUAUUUGAGCAUUUUCUAAUAACGAAAGGUUUUUGCAGGGUUUUUACUUGAUACACUCAAUCUGACUGGCUUGCAAGAAAACAUGCGAAACGCAUCCUGAUGAAAGUUUCGAUCGCCUUGUAUUACACUCGAAAGAGUGAUCCAAGAGAUCCGUCAAUACUUUAUAGGAAAUCAAAUAGGACUAGCAGUCAUUCCACAAAAAGGAAACAGAGAAAAUAGAUGUUGGUUGCAUGUGUGAAUCUGAAACUGACAAUGUACCAAAAAAGUUGAAAAGAAAAUCAACCAGAAAAAGUAAAAAGGAAGAAAAAGAAUAAAGCACCCCAGCAAACUAAUGACAUCUCUUAAAUGACAAGAAGUAUACACUAUUCAUUGAUCUUCAAAUGCAUUAAUUGAAGAUAAGAGAGAGGAAGUUUUCGUAUUGGUUUCUUCUGACUGAGGUUUUGACUUACAUCAAUGCGAUGCAUCAUAGUAACUCAGAAGCAGCAGAAGCUAAACAUGUUUUCCUUGGACACACAGAAAUAAAUUUUUUUUUUAAAAAAAAGAGUGCAAUGCAAGUAGUUUUACCUUUCAUGUCUUUUACAGCAUUCUUCACCCUUCUUUCGCAUCCAUCACAGUCCAUCUUAACCUUAAUCUCAACGGUCUGGUUAAGUAAAAAUGACAAAAGCAAACAUCCCUCAUCAUUCAGUCCAUUAAGUGAAACAGAAGAGCACCAAAACAACAGACGUAAAUCUUAAAACCCUGAGAAGCGAUUAAGAAGUUAACUAUGCGCUCGACGCGCAGGUGCUCCCUAGAAAAUUAAGCAGUUACCUGCAUUGGUUUCCUCUUGCUUCUUCUUGUGCUGGUGACAGUACAAAAGUUUGAGAGGUAGUCGAGAGCCCCCAUUUAAUUGUUCUCCUCUGGAUAUGGAAGAAAGCAAAGCUACCACAGAGAGAAUCGAGAAGAAAUGGUCAGAUAUAUGAGUGGGCUGGUCUGCGAGUCUUUGGUACCUAUUUGCAAGAGGUGGUAUUUAUACAAGAAGCUCCUAGCUAAGAGCUUUUGGGCUUUAGGCGAAAGGAAAUGAUAUAUUCUUUUCAAACUCUCAACUCUGACACUUUCGGGUGCGGAGAGCCUUUUUGAAACUUUUAUUUACCUAAUUUUGUAUUUAUUUAUUUUUGCAAAUUUGCCACUAGAGAUGUAAAAUUACUUCUUAACUAUGUAGUAUUAUGUACUUCUUCUAUUUUUUGCGAACGCUCGAGAACAAGCAGAUACAUCUAAUGCCUCUUGAGAUCAUGAAGAAUAUAUCUUAGGCGAGAAAUUCAUGUGAAAAAUUACUUAGACUGCACCUCAGGCCUGAAAAUCUUCCACCGAUUAAGGCCUUGGAAUUUGUUUAUGAGAGAGCAGACGAAGGAGGAGUACGGUUUAUUUGAGUCCCACAAAAAAAAAAACAGAUAGAGUGUUAAGUAGCAGUAGAGUAUAUUUUAGAAAAAGCAAAUGGCAACAAGUGCCCGGGAAUGAUGAGUGGGCAAGAAUGCUUUUGGGUUUUGCUCAUUUGUUUAUGUUGAUGUGUUAGCGAGAAAAUGGGGUGUAAAGUGCGUUUGUGUUUGCUUUCAUUUUCGUUCUAUGGGUGUGAGUGACUUUGCUUUUUCCCACUAUUUAUUUAUAUGAGUGAAGAAAGACCACCCGAUGAUUGCUUAGUCCCAAGAUUUUUGUUUGUGAGCAAUAUUAACGAUCAUUUCAGUUUCACCUUCCUAAUGUUAGAGACUGUGUGAAUCACCUCUCUUCUCUUUCGAAUUUGCGGCUUAAUGGAGUUACAAAAAGAUGUGUGUUAUCACUCACAGAUGACUUCAUUGCCUAAUCAGAUGAAGCCUUCUUCAAUUGAUAUAAGCAGCAGCACUCUUCCAAUCAGAAGUGAGCGGAAUGUGAAAUUCCCCACUAACUAACUGCAAGAAAAAUUUCAGCUUUCCGAUCAUCUCAUCAUUACAAAGUACGGAAUUGAAGGGCGGGCGUUUUUACGUUUAGGAUACAAAAUUAUCAGUAACAAAUUAAGGGUAAAGCGUAGCUAGCCUAAUGCUAAAAAAUUAUCGUUUGUUUAAAGUACACCCAAGGACAACUUUUACCAGCCGUCCGUUCAGCCACAAUCAUGGUGAUGCGGGCGGGGGCCAUUGCAAGAAAAAGAACGAUCAUUUGUGUCCGAUCAGCUAGCCUUCAUCAAUCCCAUCAAGAUCAAUAGUUUUUUAUGGUGUGCUUGCACCCCAAACCAAAACAACACCCUUUUGUAGGUUGUACAGGGCCAACCCCGCAAUAGGCACUGCUGGGGAAGGCACAGCACAACUCAUCAAUUCGGAAGAAGUGCUUGUUUCCUCCUCUUCUCACCUUGUUUACAUGCAAAAUUAAAGGAUUCGAGGGACCAGACAGAACGAGAGAGGAAGCAGAAUGCGACAUAAACAACAAAAUUCAAAUGACAUUAUUCUUACUCCCCUUUUAGGACAAAGAGGAGCCUAAAGGGGUUCUUCUGAGUACCCCAUGAGAUGAGAGUCAGUCCUCGAAGAAAUUCCAUUUUAUGAUUUUAUCUCAAGGAUAAACUACAAGUAGAGCCCUACUCGGGGACUUUUAGAUCCAUUUUUCGUAGCCCAGAAGAACAACCAAUCUGAAAGGUGAAUGUUAAGAAAUGGGAAGAAAACGAACUCUUCUUCAAUCUUUCCCUCCAUUGGUGCAGCAGGUCCAGUCCUUCAUAUCACAAUACGGUAAUCUUUUUUAGAAGGGGCUGUACCUGACCAACGCACAAACCAACUAAUAGCGAUGCUCUGUUCUCGGUGCACAACAAUAAUACAAGAAUGAUCCCUUUGGUACGGAAACACCAGAAUCCUCCGUUCCACAUGUAUUAAGAAAAAUUAAAGACAUUAAAACUAACAAUAUUUUCAUUUUUGAGAGGAAGGAUGAUAGAACUCAAUGUGUUUCCUUGUCUACUUCACAACUUACAUGGACUGCUGCUCAGCAACUGUAGUCAUAUCCGCUUCAAUUUCUGACCUCUCAAUCCAUUCCAAAAUGCUGACGCAUUUACCACCUUUGUACCUGGAAGUUGCACUUCUAGCACCUGCAAUGAUACAAGAUGCUAAUCACUGUGAUGGCUGCAAGAAGUAGACCAAAUUAACGACAAUUCCCACCUCCAGUGCCGUCUGUCUGCCACAUGGGAAUAUCAGUGAACCUUUGUUGAAAACCACAUCAUCAGCAUCCCCACUCUGAGCUUUGGCACCAUUAUAAACUCUUGUUGUGAUAAUCUUAAGCUCGGUAGUAUUAGACUGACCGUUUUGGGGAUCCACAAUCAUGACUUUAGCUCUGGUACCAGGCCAACCUGCAAAUGCACGAACCUAGAAGACUAUGUGUCAUGAUUAUACAGUAGGUGCAACAUGAGGAUCAAACCAAUACCUUGUUAUGAAGGGUUAUAGCUUCUUGAUCAAAGGAUAGCCAUGACUCCUUGGGUGUUAUCUGUAUCGAGCAAUCAAAGUAACCCAAUAUUCAUAUGUAGGUAAGAUGUGUCCCAAGAAUCGACCAGAAGAAAAACAAGUAUAUAAUCUCAAAUGCAAAUUUAAUCAACAGGCUACUCAUACAAAAAUUUAAGCAGCGUAAUCCUCAUUAACAAAUGAAGGGGAUAAAAAUUGCAGGAUAUGACCUGCACCAUUUUUAGACAAGAUCAUAAGAAAAUUUUGUUGCGAGUUUUGGAUCAAAUUCAAUCCAAAAAUCUAAUAAUCAAGUAGCAGCAUCAAAUUGGGCUUUAUUGAAAUUCAUUUUGUUCAUCAGUUGGCAAAGAGAGAAAUCAGGUCAGUUACUCCAAGAUGAGAGAGAAUAGAUGAAUAUCAAGAUCGAUGUCUCUAAAGAAAUCAAUUCAACAACUACUUUCCUUAACUUCUUUGAAUGGCUGCAAGUAUCAGAUGCACAUCUUACGGGUAUCAACUCCAAAACAAUUUGUAAAUAAUCUGAUAUUCUUGUGAUUAUUCCUCAGUUACUUCAUACUUAUUUCAACUAAGGGAUGUUAAACAAACUUCACCUUUGGAGCCAGAGUUGCUUUAGAUUCAUCCUGCUCUUCUGCUUUUCUUUUAGCUGAUCCAUCAAAAAUAAAGGGAAGCUCACGGAGCAGAAGUUCAGAUCCUGAAUGUUCCAAGAACUAAUGAGUCACCAAUACCUUUUACAGUAGGCUAGAAAAAUAAAAGCCCCAUUUCUCUAAAAGAACAAAAGCCAAUUUCUCUAAGCAUUCCACUCACUGCUAAACUAACAGAGUCCAGAUUGCACUAAAGUCCUGAGAAAUAUUAAUUGAUAUGCCAAAGAUCUCAAAGUGGCAUAAAUCUAUUAAGUAUUAUAUCAGAUGAAUACUUAAAAUAUUAAUGCAAAGCAGUAGUAGGAGAAGGAAUGCACAACACCUACCUUGUGCAAAUAAUAACUCAAGUAGCUCUGCUGCCUGCAAACGAAUCAGUACAAAGUUAGCUGACUUUAAGAAAGCAGUAUAUGCUAGCCUUAUAGAAUUACUUCAAUUCAGAUAUAACAUACACUCAAGAUCUUUUUCAGUCGUGGACGACACAUUAAUGAUUUUCAGUGGUUUGGGAAAGAGUAUAGAUUCAUAAGACACUAGAAUGAGGAGCUUAUAUGACAUAAAUCGAAGGAAGAAGAAAGACUUUAGUACCUUUAUUUGAUCAUCUACAUCUAUUCUUUGACAAGAAAUAACAGGUCCAGCAUCCAGUUGACGUACAGUAAAUGCUAGUGACACUCCUGUUUCCUUUACGCCAUCCUGUUACAAAAUUCAUUUCAUGAUUAAUAAAUGUCUAAAUAUUAAACAAGUCAGAGUCAAAGUCUAAGUCUAAGAAACUUAACCUCCAAUGCUCGCUGAACAGGGGCUGCACCACGGUAGAGAGGCAGCAAGCUUGGGUGAAUGUUUACGGUCCCUACAAGAAUGCAUUUGAAUAAGAAAAAGCUUAAAUCAAAUUCCCCAAUUUACAGAUUUGAUGCAAUAAAUGAACUGGAAAAAUAUUUUGUGCCAAACUAUCGUGGGACAGCACUAAAACAUUUCUCCUUGCUUCUGGACUAUCACUGUAAUAACUUACAAAUAGUGAACAUGUUUCUUCAUUUUACUAGUUAAACUUCUGACCAUUUCAGUCUAUUUUCUCUGCUUCUAUUAUAUGUAGUUGCAACUUUUUACCAUUUCACAAUCUCAUGAUUUAUUACUCCACCAUUUGUUGUUUUGCCCUAAAUCUAGCUUGACAUACUCUCUUCUCUACUUGUCUUCUUUUCCUUUAUACUCUUUUCUUGUUAUCAUUCAACAAUCAGACAUUCAUCUUAUCAAAAUUUUGAUUUCAACCAUGCUCACAUACCCAUCAUCUGUUCGACUUAUUCUCCAGGUUCUUAUUUUUGUCAGAUGUAAAUACCAGAAAGGGGACUUUUCUGAAAGUUGUGAUAGACAGUUAAAUGAUAAAAUAAGUAUUAAUUUCUCUUACUUUUGACAUCAACAUUCCACCAAAGGUCAAAGUACACAUCUUUUGCCACUUUCAAGGAAUUAUUGGUAUACAUCUCUCCAUGGCGUUCACAAUUUAGAUGUUUAAACUUCUAAAAAACCUGAGAUAACAACUAAUACAAACGGGAUUUCUGACAGAAAAAUCACGAUUACUAACCCAAUGAUGGAAUCUUCAGAAACUUGCUUGGUAAAAUAUUCCCAUAUGCAGCAGUAACACAAAGUUCAGGCUCCAGAGACUUGAAAUUCUCAAGAAAUGAUUCCUAAACAAAAUAAAGUUGAUGGUAAGUUCUCUUAUCAAGGAGGGCAUUCCUUCAGAAGUGUUAAGCUCAACAGCAUCAAUAGCAAAGGGAAAUCGGGAAAUCAACUGAAGGUCUUCAUGGCAAUGCAACAUAUUUGUUUGGAUUGUAAGUUAUUUGGGAUUAUUUGGGAUAUUUUUACUGUAGCACUUUUUGUGAUGUGAUGUAUUUUAGAUAAAAAGGUAAUUGGAAAGAUAAAAAGGUGUAUUGGAAAUUGUAAUGAUGAUGUAAACAAAUAAAACUGGGUAAAUAAUGCUCAAUCCAAACAAACCCAUAGAUGUUGAAUAUGCCAAAUAUAUUCAUCAAAAAGUAUGCAUCUUUUUAUGAUCUACAGUUGUAUAACAUCACAGCUCCUCAAUUGUUUUUCUAACCAGCCAGAAUUGCUAAUACCACUGUCCAAGCUACAAAAUUUUCUAACUUUCUACAUGAAAAUCUCCCAGUAACAAGUAGGUGCUUCUUGUACAAGUCAUGGAUCGCAUUAAAGUACAAAAGCAUCAAGCAUUCGCCAAUUGGUUGGUAGGCUAUCUACAUGAAACAGUACAAGCCCUGGUGCACCUGGUAACAGGCCCUGUCCAUGGAAACGAGUGACCACCCCUAAUAAACCUUUUUAGCCACCAAAAAAAAAAGGAUCUGACUGACAAAGUUCAUUGUUAAAUAUUAACCUGAGGAUGUCUGUUACUGCAAAAAGUUUUCUAUUCCCUUUCAUUCACUCAUUCGUAAAUGGGCAUUCCCCUCUGGGCAUGUUUUGAAAGAGCAGAAUGCCAUUCUAAAUUUUUGUAUGCUAGUGAAUCUAGAAUGGAGUACAAGCAGCAAUCACCAAGAAAUGGCGAUCUAUGUAUAAUAAUUUAGUUGUCAGUAUCGGGCAGCUUGAUCCAUCAGUGCUUUUAAUCGGCUUCCCAGAGCAAAAAAUCUCAAAUGCGACAGUAUACUAUCUCCUAAUACUUUGGCAGUGGCUUAAAAAUUAUGCUGCGAAGUGACCAUUCACACCCUCAAUACAGAAUCGUCAGAAAAAAAAGGCUGCAACCUGGAUGGUUAUCAUUUGCCCCCAAUUUACCUAUGUGCGCAAAAAAGUACAAAUGUGAUGCACUUGUUGCAAACUGCUAUAAGAUAAUUAAAUUUCUGCAUAACUGUAUUAAGAUGUUACCUCACCAGCUUUUACAGGUGUGAAUAUCAAAUCAGAGGGGAAGCCUUUGUCAAGAGCAUGCUGUGCUACAGGAGAAGGCGUGAUCUUUCUUCCUCUAUCUCUCCCAGAGGGUGGCUGAGUAACAAUUGCAGCAACCUAGAGCAUUGCAAAUACCAAAAAAGAAAAAAAAGUGAAAGAAUCAAUAUUGAUUAGCGAAUUCCAAUUGCCAUGAAUGCCUCAAAGCCUAUCAGACCAUCAUUAAAAAUAUAUACACAAUGCUAACAAGAGCAAGGAAAUAUAGAAAAACUAGGAUGAGAAGUACGAAUCCUAAGGCCAGAUACAGCAGUAAAUUUCCCAUUGAUUAUAAUUAUGAACGACCCAGCAAACCAUAUUUCCACUUGACAAACUGGGAAAUUAAAUAUGAACUUCUACAAGCAGAAGCUAAAAUAAUCAGUAAGAGAACUUCAACAAAAGCAACAUCAACAAAGAAGACGAAGCUUGCUAUAUCAUCUGCUGCAUUGUGCAAAUUGUAAUUUUUUAAAACUCUAUCGCUUCAAAUACUCUACUGUGAAACAACAACCAAACACUGUAAAAGAAUGAUUCAUGAUUAAGGGUCAUGGAAUAUAGCUGAUGCUACAAACCAUUAACAUUCAUGACUGGUGAAAAAAUGUCUACAAGUCGUACCUUUACUGUAAAUGUUCAGCAGGUCACAUAAAUUUCAAGGAAAACAAGAUUACAACAAAAAAUUCUGUAUGUUUUUUGAGCAGAAUUUACUGUACAAAAUGACUUAAGCACAAGCAUUACACUACAGAAUAAUGAAAGAUAAAGCAGUAAUACCUCAAAUAGGGAAUCAGGAGCAGAAGAUGCAGAGAAUAAAGCAUCAAGAACCGAAGCAGAUACCUAGAGAACAAAUAACUAAUUUACAAAACGUAGGCAUUGUAAGUUGUAUUAACUAUAAAAGCAGGCAGCGAAGAGAAGAGAGAAGGGUAUUGAACCUGAGGGGAUCCCAAGAAGACCAGACGCCUUUUCUUGUUAAGGGAAGAAAAAGGAGCAGAUGCAAGAGAAGAAGAAGCACUAGUGCUGAAGCAGCAAAAGCGUCGAAGCAUCAUCGCAGAGGACCAUAUCAAUACCAUCAUCUUCUUCUUUUCCUCCUCUUUCUUGCUCUUCCAGGUUCCGAUUGCAGCUGCUUGAUGUUCUCAGAACUGGGCAAUGGGGCUAAGUUCCUCGUGGGAUUUUACGGACCAUAUUGCAAAUGGGACUCAUUGGGCUUUCCAGGAUUAAUCUACAAAGAAUAGAACCAACAGUCCUGCACCCAAUAUCGCAGACCGGUAACCGAUGUUUCGGGGAGGCAAGUAAAGUGAACCCGCCCUGGUCCUUCCCGUAACUUUUUUUUUUUUUCUUGGCAGUCUUUUUUAGUUUGUAAAUUAGUAUUCUUUUUUUUUUUUUUUGUCAAUACAGAGUGUAUCCCAGUUUUGCCGGACUAAUCACCCUGCACCUGAAGUACCCCGCCCCAGUUUGUAAAUUAGUAUUCCGGUCGAACAAUUUCACAACUGAAAUUGUGACUUCGCAAUUCAUGCACAUGGUUCAAUUGAAUCGGCGAUUUGUCACCUUAAACCAUAUGGAACGUUGUUUUGCUUUAUACAAGAGCUCAUAAUAUUAUCUACUACUAACAAAAAAAAAACUUAUAAAUCUACCAUAAAAACUAGGGAUACUUGAAGAAACCUCCCAUGAGAUUUCUAACAAUUUCACUAGCCUCCCCUAAAUUUUACAAAAUCAAGGUUAAGGUUUUGAUAAUAAAAUUGGUCCAAUUAGAAAAAGUAACAUUAAAAAAAUACUUUAAGGAGAGAGAUGAAACUUUUGUUCCAUUAAUACCCCUUAUGUAUAUAUAUAAGUUGUAUCAGUAAAAGAAUGAAAAUAAUUAAAAGUUAGAAACAAUUAAUAAACACAUUUUACAACUCAAAAAGUUCACAUUCAAUAAAUUUGAUAAUACAAAUAAGCAACAAAACUAUAUUAAUGAUAAUAGGAUUCAGCAAAACAGACUAGUCAUCUCUUUUGACAUGAUGUUUGCUACAAUUCUUGUGAUUUUGAAAAGAAAAAUUUUUAAAUUUUGCAUUUCUUUUCCCUCCUUUCUCCUUUGCUAAUAUCUAACGAUUAAACAAUUAGAAACUCUUUAAGUUAUGACAGUUGUAAGUAAUUUCAUGAAAGUAAAGGAAAAAAGAGGGAAAAUAAAAACAAAAUUCAAAAUUCAAAAUUUUUGCUAUUUAAAAUCACAAGAAUCAUAACAAACAUCAUAUUAAAAGAUAAGACUAGUCUGUUUUGCUAAAUCUUGUGAUCAUUAGUAUAGUUUUGUUGCUUAUUUGUAUUGUCUAAUUUAUUUGAAUUUGAACUUUUUCAGUGGUAAAAUGUGUUUAUUAAUUAUUUCUAACUUUUAAUUAUUUUUAUUCUUUUACUGGAAUAAAAGUUUCAUCUCUAUUUUUAAAGUGCUUUUUUUAAUUGAACUAAUUUUGUUUUUAAAAGUUUAAAACCUUAACCUCAAGGGAGGUUUUUAUAAUUUUGCAAACUUCAUGAGAGACUGGUAAAAUUGUUAGAAAUCUCAAGGGAGGUUUCUGAAAUUAUCCCUAAAAACUAACCUCGUUUGUUCCUAUACCCUGAUUCUAUACACGGCCCAUAUCGUGUCAGGAUACAAAUUUACAAAUUGCAAAGGUUAGCCACUCGCUCUCGCACAACUGCAUUUCAAUGCUGACGGCCAGAGCGAUUCAGUUUUCUGAAGUUUCCAGUUUCUACUGUUCUUUAUCAUUAUUGUCAUUUUCAACGCUAUUCAUCCACGUACAGAGCUUGAAUUGCUGGAAAAAAUGUACAAGGGAGAAGAGUAGUAAGAAAAAUCUAGGAGAUUUCAAUGUCAAAUGGCUUCUUUACUCUUUGCUUUGAUUUUUUCUUUCAAGCUGAACAAAAGCAUGUACCAUACACUAACUAUGGCUGCUCAAUUCUGUGAAGCUGUGCCUACAAAUCGCAAUCAAACUGCCGCCUUUACUGUCUCUAAUCGUCAACCAACAAAAACCAAGCCAAGACCCCACCAGCGCUACCAAGUUAGAUGACUCGCUUUUGAGUUCUCGCCGAGUACUAAACUAUAUGUCC
rnacentral:lncRNA from 1 species